GACGAACGCUGGCGGCGUGCCUAAUACAUGCAAGUAGAACGCUGAAGCGAGGAGCUUACUCUUCUUGGAUGAGUUGCGAACGGGUGAGUAACGCGUAGGUAACCUGCCUUGUAGCGGGGGAUAACUAUUGGAAACGAUAGCUAAUACCGCAUAACAAUGGAUGACACAUGUCAUUUAUUUGAAAGGGGCAAUUGCUCCACUACAAGAUGGACCUGCGUUGUAUUAGCUAGUAGGUGAGGUAAUGGCUCACCUAGGCGAGGAUACAUAGCCGACCUGAGAGGGUGAGCGGCCGACCUGGGAGUGAGACACGGCCCAGACUCCUACGGGAGGCAGCAGGAGGGAAUCGUCGGCAAUGGGGGCAACACUGACCGAGCAACGCCGCGUGAGGGAAGAAGGUUUUCGGAUCGUAAAGCUCGGUUGUAAGUCAAGAACGGGUGUGAGAGUGGAAAGUUCACACUGUGACGGUAGCUUACCAGAAAGGGACGGCUAACUACGUG
rnacentral:rRNA from 1 species